AAAUUAAGUUAAUAGUUCAUCCAUAUAAUUUAGGGAAUAUGGCCCUAAAGUCUCUACCGGACUGCCGUAAACUGUCCGACUAUGGAUGAGUCGAUGGGUUAU
rnacentral:ncRNA from 1 species